GUACGUAGCAGAGCAGCUCCCUCGC
rnacentral:piRNA from 7 species